AUGGCAAUGCUAUUACAUAGUUUGGGAAGGUGUAGGAAGAGAAAAGUAUAUUAUCACAGCUCCAAAGUUUUAUUUUUUUUUUUUAUAUUUAUUUUUUUAUUUCUGCAGAGUGCAGUUGGUGACACAACUUGUUGGCCAGUACAGUACAAGUCAUGUAUGCUGAUGGUUCUGAAGAAAAGACAAGACAGCAAAGACGUGGCAAGGAACAUCCUUUGGAGACUUACUGAACUGGUGAGCAUCUCUGCACGGUCUGAGACCUGGUUUAGAAUUGGAUGUAGGAAGUGGCAGAGCAUCCUGCUGGUCUUCAAGUUGAGCAGCUCUUGUCAAGUAUGUGGUAUGGCUGAUGCACUGCAGAGGGAAGUAUGGGAGGCAAGUUCCCACAUCCACCUCAUACAUAAUGACUGAACAUUAUUGUGUUGUAAUCCUGGAAGGGUAAUCCUGUAGCUGUGGCUGUUGCUGAGCCAGUGUCCUAGAUGAGCCAUCAUAUUUUACUGUAAAUGCAAGAAAUCUGUCUCUAUUUUUACUUACCUGUGUGAAGUCAUCCUGGCUCUAGGCCAAGAGAUGGCUGUUCAUGUUAACACAAGCAGGGCUAAAAUUUCUGUGAAUGAGUCAUAGAUUUCCGUUGUCUCAAUGAUUCACUGUUUGAUUUACUUGAACCACCUAAUAUUUUGGCAAUUAAGUACCACCAGGAAAAAAUAUACAGAAAACUACUCAGGCUGUUGUUUCUGAGAUGACUACUGAUACAACUAAAGGGCCAUUAUCCUUGUACAAUUGGACCUGUGAAUUGAUAGCAGUAACAGCAAUUUAAUAAGUUGUUUUUGUUUUUAGAGAGGUCAGGCCAGACUGAUUUUACCUACUUUGUAUAGUGCAGGAGUGAUUUCCUCACCUCGAUGUUGUGUCAGUUCUACAUGCAGCAGUCCUGCAACUACAGCUGAAGAAAGAGAGGAGUUGUUCUUUUUUUGUUUUAAGGGACUUAUGUUAUGAUUGACUUCACCUUUUGCCUUUUAUGAAAAAGAAAAAAAAAAGAUAAAAAUAGAGGACAGACACUGAUGCACAGAGAACGUAACAGGAAUAUUUCCUAAGAAAAACCACUGAACUGCAGCAGUCUAUGUACCAGAAGGAUUUUCAGUGAUUCACAGUUGUAUGUUGAAGUUUUCUCUCAUGUCUCCAGCAGAGAUGGAAAAAGAGACAGAGAAAAGAGACAUCCUUGAAAUUUGAGAGUCCUGCAGUUCAGAGGAAAGCUGUUAGGUGUCUGAUUCCAGUUUUCAUAGCAGUCCAAGAGGGCAAUUUGGCAUUCCUCAGGGUCAUGGCAGCAAUAAAAAGAGCAUAAGGAGAAAAGAAAUAGAUAUU
rnacentral:lncRNA from 1 species